CAGGACUCUAUCCUCAGCGCCUGGCGGGUGAGACGGAAUGCUGUGACAGGCGCAGGAGGCGUGUGGGCUCUUUGCUGCCCCCUUCAGGCUGUGAGAAAGUUGCUGGACUUCAUUGUGACUAUAAAGGAGAUUUCAUCAGGGCUGAAAUAAUGCACAGAAUCAGACAGCACCCAAACACCAAGGCGGACCCCAGAGGGUGAUCUGCAGAGGAAUUUACAACAAUGCUGUCUGGGAGAUGUCGCCGC
rnacentral:lncRNA from 1 species